AAAUAAAACAAUUGCUUUGCUUUAUCCUCAAACUGUAAUAGAAAGACAAGUCACAGCUUAAAGUUUAAAGUAUGUAGUUACAAAAAUUUAGAGAAUCUUUAUUUUUACCCAUAGAAGUAAAGAUAGCCCUGGCAUUCUCAGAAGAAAACCAAAUACGAUCACAUGGACGGGUCUGCUGGUGGGAAGUGUCUAAACGUUAUCAUCACCACGAUAAAUAUUUAGUUCUAGUAGAGCAUGAGAUUACCUUAAAAAUGUUCUAGCAUCUCUGCACACAUUCCAAAAGGAAUAGAGUUCUCUAAAGAAAGAAAAUACCGAAGAGAUGGGUAGGCACUGUGGGAUGAGAGAGAAAACUGCCAGCCAAGGAAUUAGAGAAGUUGAGUUCUAGCUUCUGAUUUGCCCAAGUAUGAGGUAAAUGGCAUGCAGGAAAGACCAUAAGCUCUUUUCACCUGGUCAUUUCUUGCUUGAACUUCAUGAACCACCUGGUCAUUUCUUGCUUGCAUUUCAUGAACCACCUCCUUGAAUGUUUCUGAGUCAGCCGGCAGACCGAUUACCAAGUCCCCAAAUCCAUCUCCCCCACAGAUCUUUCUAAUUUGGUCAGAUUCAUCAGUGGCUCCAAGAGCAUUAAGAAUAAAGUUAAAAAACUGCAGCAGGCUAUACCAGGUCUUUUAAGGUCCAACACUUGCUUACCUCUUUGGCCCAUCUCCCUCCACUUCCCAACUCCUUCCCAUCCUCCCACCCCUGCAGAGCCAUUUAAGCUUCUGCUCUUAAAGGUAGAGCUCCAUUUCCCCUACUGUUGACCCAGUAACUCUCGCCUCAAGAGAUUAAGUAAGUAAUGGCUUAAUUCACCUUAAUGGCUGGCUUUUCUAAGUUUUCUUGACCUUUCCUUCUGGGUUUGGUGCCAUCCUUUGUUCUAUUCUAGCGCUUACUGUAUUAUAAGCAUCCAUUUACUUAUCUGUUCUCCCCCUCCCUCCACCCGUUAGGCUAAAACUUCUUGGCAAAUGGUGGUAAAUAAAUGCAUAACAAAUGAGUAAAAAUCAACUCUCCUUAUUGCUAUUAUUUUUGGAGGGGGAACUGGGGAAUGGAGUUGAGUCGUUGGCUGAUUCCAUCAUGAAGAAAUCAAGUCAUCAGGGGUGCCGGUGGUGGGGGGGGGGGUGUUGGCUCAGUUAGUCAAGAUCUCACGGUUCGUGGGUUUGAGCCCCGUGUUGGGCUUUGUGCUGACAGCUCGGAGCCUGGACCCUGCUUCAGAUUCUGUAUCUCCCUCUCUGUGUCCCUCCCCUGCUCACAUUCCAUUUCUCUCUCUGUCUCCCUCCCUCAAAAAUAAAUAAACAUUAAAAAAAAAAAAAGAAAUCAACUCAUCAUUUUUACUGGGGAUUAAAAAUACCUCUCCCCAUUCUUGCUGAAUGUUCUGGUGGAAAAAAACUUACUAGUUAACUAAAUUAAUUUUAUCUCAUUAGAAUACUAAAAUUAGUCUUGAAGAAAUGCUUAGCUCCUUUUACUUCCUAAGCAAAGAAUGCUAAAUUUGGAUUCGAAUGAUUAGUCCCUUUCCAUUUGUUUCUUUAAUCAGUUCCCUCCUUUCCUAAUGUCGGUUCCAGCUGAUCAUGGUUUAAAGCUGGAUUGUCACCUGUCUCUGCCAGAAAACACAGAGGCAGCCCAGAACGAUGGAACAAAAAAUCAGAAUCAGAAUCAGAAAAAUCUAAUAUUGAGUUUGUCAUUUCUUACUGUGGUGGCUUUGGCCACACAUUGAAUUCUUUACGUCUCUAUGUCCUCUUCUGUAAGUAAGGAUGAUGCCCACCUUACAGAGUAACUAACAGUAAGUCUCCAAUAAUAUCAUAUGUGCUGUGAAUGCACUUUGCAAACACUUAAAUGACAGAUAUGUCAUUAUUACUCCAACUCUAAACCCAAAGCAUCAGUAUCAUUUAUAACCAGCUCUCCAGUCCAACUCUUUCCUAGAGUUACUAUGCCAGGCAAAAAAUAAAUAAAUUAAAUUAAAUUAAAAAAAAAAGGGACUGGGGCGCCUGGGUGGCUCAGUCGGCUAAGUGUCCGACUUCAGCUCAGGUCACGAUCUUGCAGUUCGUGGGUUCGAGCCCCGCAUUGGGCUCUGUGCUGACAGCUCGGAGCCUGGAGCCUGUUUCAGAUUCUGUGUCUCCCUCUCUCUGACCCACCCCGUUCAUGCUCUAUCUCUCUCUGUCACAAAAAUAAAUAAACGUUAAAAAAAAAUUAAAAAAAAAAAAAGAAAAAAAGGGACUGAUUUGAGUUUGAUCUCUUCUGCCAAGUGGUUAGGACAGAAACCAGAAAAACGCCUAAAGAAAGGAGGAAGAUCAGUACAUCAAACAGCCCAGAUACAAUCCACAACAUAGAUAAAUGACUCUGCCUAAUUGGGAAUUCAGAACAGACAUCUCUGUCCUAUAGAAAUACCCCUUGCCUCAGACAUUCCUCUCUCUGGCCAGACAUCCUCCUCGAGGAGGGGCACUGUACAGAAUUCAGAGCGCAUCAAAUGUCUACAGUGUCUCAUAUUCUGAAAAUGCCUUUGCUCUCAAUUCUGUACAUUAUGCCUUGGAAGGACCGAGAGAAGUAUGUUUUUUUUUUUUUUUUAAUUUUUUUUUUUCCAACGUUUUUUUUUUUUUGGGACAGAGAGAGACAGAGCAUGAACGGGGGAGGGGCAGAGAGAGAGGGAGACACAGAAUUGGAAACAGGCUCCAGGCUCUGAGCCAUCAGCCCAGAGCCCGACGCGGGGCUCGAACUCACGGACCGCGAGAUCGUGACCUGGCUGAAGUCGGACGCUUAACCGACUGCGCCACCCAGGCGCCCCAGGACCGAGAGAAGUAUGUUAAUAUUAUCCUUGGGCCAGAAAAGGAAGACAGCUAGGAUCUAAGUGAUUUGCUUCAGGUUUCAGAGGGAAUUAAAGCAGAUAUGUCAACAUUCACAGGGCCUUCUCUCUGUGGCAAGGGGGAUUCCUUUAUUCUUGUAGUUGUGGGUUUUUGGUACUAUGACCAGAUUUACCAAUCUUUAAGCAGGUGAUUCUGAGGUACCAGUGAGGGUUUGAUGGAGCAAGUAUACAAUUCUUACUGGCUUGGCCAUUCCCACAUGUAGGAGGCAGGCACAAUUUUCAGCGGAAAAAUGAUGUACAGAAAGAAGUUGAUCUAUAGUUAGGCAGGAAAUACAAGGAAAAAAAAGGACAGCAACUCUGUACUUUGUCUUCAGUGUUUGAUAUUCUCUCUUGGAGAUUCGUGAUUCUCAAACUAUCGAUUCUUAAGGAUGAGAAUUAAUUAUAUGAAAAACAGCCUGUAUAUAAUAAAACAAUUAAAUGGGGCUAUUACCAUUAUUUACCAUUGUCUUGACUACUGGUUUCCAUUUUUCUUUUUUUUUUCUUAAUGUUUUUAUUUAUUUUUGAGACAGAGAGAGACAGAGCAUGAACAGGGAAGGGGCAGAGAGAGAGGGAGACACAGAAUCGGAAGCAGGCUCCAGGCUCUGAGCCAUCAGCACAGAGACCGAUGCGGGGCUCGAACUCACAGACUGUGAGAUCAUGACCUGAGCCGAAGUCGGACGCUCAACCGACUGAGCCACCCAGGCGCCCCUCCAUUUUUCUAUUCAAAGAAAAAUUUCUAUUCUGGUGAAUAACUUAAGUGAACUUGAGAUUUUAAAAUGUGGAAGUAAAUAUGAGUUCCCACGGGUGGAAGAGGACUCACAAUCAGAAUGAAUUGGUAGAAAGUUGUAUGUCUCAGGCAUUAAUCUCUUCAGCAGUUAUUUCUGUUUUUUCUUGUAGACAGGUGGUAGGAGGGUACUGCCCCAUUUGCUUUUAAGACAGGCACGGUAUAGGGCUAUAGGGCUCGCUCAGGCUAUUGAAAUAUGAGCAUAAAUGACACGUGAAAGCUUUAAGGAUUUGUGUGAUAUACGCCAUAGGUCUUUUCCCUUCUGCCAUACUGCCUAGUGUUUGACUAUGUUCCAGAUAGUAGCUGGUCUCUUUGAGACCUAAACUGAGGUCUAAACUGAGGCCAAAUGGAACAGAGGAGCACCCGACCCCGAUUUGUGGGUCGUUUGUAAUCAAAAGAUAAUUGAUACCGUCAUGACUGAUAACAGUUGACCUUAUUCAAAAGGAAUGGAUAUACUAAGGGAUAAGCGUUUAGCAGAGCAUAGGCAAAGGCAUACAAUGAAUGGAUACUCACAAACCUAAGGGGAAAGGUGGAAGGCAAAGUGUCUGAGGGAAGAUAAAUGGAGCAGCAGAGAAGUGACUUCAUGGGGAUGGGAUCAGCCAAAUGCUUUCCUAACACGGACGGUGAAACCGGGAUGGUGGUCAGACCACCACCGGGAGACUUUAUCCACUUGGUCUACGUCAGAACCGUUGUUCUGACAAAAAAAAAAAAAAAGGCAGAAUCUGAUAGAUUCUUGACUUACCCAGAAAAUAAAGUGAUCUUUCAAAAGCAACACUGUGGGAUUUUCAAAAGCUGAGGAGGCAGUCAGGGGAAUUGCAAAUUGGCAUUAAAUUGGCUCAGUAAAGAGCUACUUAAUGUUAAGGAAGUAACGAAAACCUUGGGAGAUUACAUAGCAACCCAAAUAGGGAACACUGGACAUAAAAAGUACUCCAGCUUAUUAGAGAAGUGAAUCUUAAAGAUUCAGAAAAAAGAUACUAAUGAUACUAAAAUCAUAAUAUUUAAAAGGGAUUGGAAAGCUGACAAAUACUAGGAUAUUACAUUAUGAUGAGGUCACAAAUAAUCCUAGUGAGGAACCCUCAGUCCUUGGAGGAUACGAUACCGCUCCAUUAACUUAGUCAACAAAUGUUUACUGAGUGACUACUAGGAAUUAGAAAUUGUGCUAAAAUGUUGGGGGACCAAAGAGGAUAUAGUUCCUGCCCUCAAGGAGCUUGCGGUAGAGUCAAAUAAACAGACAAUAAACCAACAAGCCCCCAGCUAGCAUUGAUUAAAUACCUAGUAUUUGUUAGUGAGGUUGAAUUGGCUUUUACGUAAUUUUUCCCCUGAUUUUUACAAGCUUGCUGUGUAGGUGAAGGUCUUGUUGAAACUCAGAGAGAUGAAGUAAUCGAGUGUUAUAUUCAUACAAUAAUAGGCAAAACUGGGACUUGAAAUCAAUUUUCUGUGAUUUCAAUAUCUGUAUUCUUUCAAACAUACGCUGAUGCCUUUCACGUCUAACUUUAAGAUUAUGCGAUUUUGGGGGGCGCCUGAGUGGCUCAGUCGGUGAAGUACCUGACUUCGGCUCAGGUCAUGAUCUCACGGCUCGUGAGUUCGAGCCCCAUGUCGGGCUUUGCGCUGAUAGCUCAGAGCCCGGAGUCUGCUUCGGAUUCUGUGUCUCCCUCUCUCUCUCUGCCCCUUCCCUGCUCAUGCUCUUUCUUUCUCUCAAAAAAUAAAUAAAAGUUAAAAAAAUAAUAAUAACAGCCAUGCUAUUAGCAUACCUCACAAAAUUAACAAUAAAUGGGGAGACUGCUUCAGAUUCUGUGUCUUCCUUUCUCUCUGCCCCCCCCCCUUGCUCAUGCUCUCUCUCUCAAAAAUAAAUAAAUAUUAAAAAAAUUUUUUUAAAGAUUAUGUGAUUAUUUAAAGUAGUUUUGAAAUGUUAGUGUGCCUGUGUGAGGGUGUGUGCUUUAAACGGACAAUGGCUUAUCAAAAAGAAAAAAAAUUAUCUUUUUAUGUAAUUACAUUUUGGUUAUUUUUUUUUCAGUUCAAGAAACUCCAGGGACAGAGGCACCUGGGUGGCUUAGUCAGUUAAGCCUCUGGCCCUUGAUUUUGGCUCAGGUUGUGAUCAGGUUCAUGAGUUUGAGCCCCGCCUUGGGCUCUGCACUGACAGCCUUCUUGGGAUUGUUUCUCUCCCCUCUUUCUCUGCCCUUACCCUGCUUGCACGCUCUCGCUCUCUCAUUCUCUCUCUCUUUCAAAANNNNNNNNNNNNNNNNNNNNNNNNNNNNNNNNNNNNNNNNNNNNNNNNNNNNNNNNNNNNNNNNNNNNNNNNNNNNNNNNNNNNNNNNNNNNNNNNNNNNNNNNNNNNNNNNNNNNNNNNNNNNNNNNNNNNNNNNNNNNNNNNNNNNNNNNNNNNNNNNNNNNNNNNNNNNNNNNNNNNNNNNNNNNNNNNNNNNNNNNNNNNNNNNNNNNNNNNNNNNNNNNNNNNNNNNNNNNNNNNNNNNNNNNNNNNNNNNNNNNNNNNNNNNNNNNNNNNNNNNNNNNNNNNNNNNNNNNNNNNNNNNNNNNNNNNNNNNNNNNNNNNNNNNNNNNNNNNNNNNNNNNNNNNNNNNNNNNNNNNNNNNNNNNNNNNNNNNNNNNNNNNNNNNNAUAUACAUAUAUAUACAUAUAUACAUAUAUAUAUGUGUAUAUAUAUAUAUAUUUGUUUUCUUUUUUUCCAGAAGUCCCAGUACCACACACCCAUCAUUGGAGGAAAACUUGGCAUCAGAAACUACUCACCAUUUAGUACAAGCCAAAUGGCUAAAUUGAUUUUAGCAUUCUGGAAGAAAAAUUGCACCUUUGGUGCUGAAUUGCUUCCCUAUGAGUGUUGAGCCAAAUAUUAAUGUAUAUUUGAAAGGAAACAAAAAGCGUUCAAACUCUAAUGUACCUCAGGCUUAUAAAUUGGAAUUCAGUCACUUUAAAUUAAGUUGGGUUUCUUGAAGCAAAACUACUCUCAUUAUUUUUCUAUUACUGCUCUGACCAACAGUUUAUAUACCACAUAACAACGUUCUAAGUUCUCCAGAUAUAAUGGAAAUGGAAACAUCUAUUCUGGAGGCUUCUCUGGUAACGCUCACUCGAGAGAACACAGACACACACUACAAUGUCAGGCUAUUUCUUAGGACUUGUAAAGACAUAUGACAUUCCAUUCAGAUGCCUUUCUGUAAUCAAGGACAAAUUGACCGCUUGUUGAGUUUUUAAAAAUUUUUGCUGCUCUUUUUAUUUUUUUUUAUUGUUAAAAAAAUUUUUUUUUUUAACGUUUAUUUAUUUUUGAGACAGAGAGAGACAGAGCAUGAACGGGGGAGGGGCAGAGAGAGAGGGAGACACAGAACCGGAAGCAGGCUCCAGGCUCCGAGCCAUCAGCCCAGAGCCCGACGCAGGGCUCGAACUCACGGAAGGUGAGAUUGUGACCUGAGCUGAAGUCGGAUGCUUAACCCGCUGAGCCACCCAGGCGCCCCUUGCUGCUCUUUUUAAAGUUUUAAAAGUAAUAUAUGUUCAUUGUAUAAAAAUUAAGAAUUACAUAAGUGUAAUCCAGUUACUGAACAAACACCACUAGAAAUACGUUGGCCUAUAUCUUUCUAAACUCUUUGCUUUGUAAAUGAAUUACAUUUUUUUUUAUAAAAAAAUACUAGUUAUGACCUUAUUUUUUCAUUUAAAUGUUUAUUUAUUUAUUUUUGAGAGAGAGAGAGAGAGAGAGAGAGAGAGAGAAAGAGAGAGNNNNNNNNNNNNNNNNNNNNNNNNNNGGGGGGGAAGAGAAUCCCAAGCAGACUCUGUGAAGUCAGUAGAAAGCCUGACAAAGGACUCAAACUCACAAACUCUAAGAUCACGACGUGAGCCGAAAUCAAGGGUUAGACGCUUAAUCGACUGAGCCACCCAGGUGUCCCACCUUAUGUUUUCAUUUAAUAACAUGGUAAAAGAAUACAUAAAUCGUUUUACAUAGUUUCAUAGUAUUAGUGCAUGAUUGUCCCAUGUUUUCUUGAACGCACCCCUGUAACUGAAUACUAAACUUGUCUCUGGUAUUGAGUUAUUAUAAUAUCAUUCCUUAAUGAUACUUGUCACGGUCUUUGGAAACAAACUGAAUGUCUAUUUUUUUAAAGUUGUUAUUAUUGGGGUGCCUGGGUGGCUCAGUCGGUUGGGCAUCUGACUUUAGCUCAGGUCAUGAUCUUGCAGUCUGUAAGUUUGAGACCCACGUCGGGCUCUGUGCUGACAGCUCGGAGCCUGAAGCCUGCUUUGGAUUCUGUGUCUCCUUCUCUCUCUCCCCCUCCCGCACUCACGCUCUUUCUCAAAAAUAAACAUUAAAAAAAAAUAAAAAAUAAAGUUGUUAUUAUUUAUUUAUCUGUACAUUUGUUUAUGUUUAGCGUAUGUUAAAAACAGCACUUUGGAGGUGGGAAUACGGUUAUGGAUGAUGACUUAUGGUUGAUAAGUUAGUGACAGAUCUUAGCUCCAACAAUUUAUCCUACCUUCUUCCUACUGCAAGUCCUGUCCCAGGCCCAACCCGGGAGCUCGAUGCCAGGGCUUGCUUCCUUUUCUGUCCUUGCUUCCCCUCUUAAUGAGACCGUUCUUCCUUGGCCCAGCCCAAACACCAAUCCCUGCCCCUGAGGUUGAGUGUGGUUUGGGUAAUGCUGAAAGGCCCAGCUGGGAUCCUCUGCUUAGCCAGCCUUGCUACUGACCAUUUCCAGAAUGUCUGACGAGCCCUCAGAGUCAUGCCUUGACUGCCUGGAUCCCUCAGGAGUCACCUUGGCAGGGUCCAUGACAUCCUUUGAGGUUGUGCUUAAACAUUUUGCCAUUUUACAUAAACGUUCUUUCUUUCAUCCAUCGCACAAUUCAGUGAGCCCCUACUUUUUGGAAGAUCGUCUGGGCCUGGGGAUAUUCUUCAUGGAGUGGGUCUAUGUUUCAAAAGUUCUGAGGAAUUAUGAGAAGAGAGGGAGAGAGGGAGAGAGAGGGAGAGAGACACACAGAGCAAGCCCAUUAAUUGCACCCCAUUGGAAAAUCUCUGAAAUUCAUCUUCCUCUUCAAUAGGGGGGUAGAUCAUGUCUAGUUGGGAAUGACUGUGACAUCAGGUAUUUCUAGUAUCUUUAGCCCUAUCUGCUUUCUUUCUAUGGUUUUCCCUUUUAAACUCAUGACAAUCCUUGUUAACAUAAGCUUGGAAGAAAAUAAAUCAUGUAGGAUAUUUAAACCACACUUCUGCUAACAUAUGUUGCAAAUAUAUUACCAUCACAUGCAGCCAACUGGGCCUCCACCACCUACACAUCCCCUACCUUUGGAGGAGCGUGUGGCCAACAGUAAAGUGUGGGGCACAGAAGCUAAGACACAGGGAUGACUCAUGGAUCAUAUUAUCAUCAUUUACAUGAGAUUAUAACAUUUGGUCCAUCAAACUCUCAAUCGGCAGAUACUUAUUUUUAGAAAUUAAAUCAUUAAGCAGGUGAAAACAACUUUUGCCCAUUUCAGCAUCAAGUGUGUACAGCGUUUUUAAAAACACUGUCUAGGCUCGCAACUGUAAAUUGAAAGGGAUCUCAGAAAUAUUCUAGGCCAAGACUUUCAUUGUGGAAAUGAGGAAACUCAGCCAAGGCUAAAUGGCUUGAGCUUACUUCCCUCAUUUCAGAGUUUGGAUAUCCAACAGCAAUUAAAAGUUUGUCUUUAAAAAGUGAAGAGAGCAAGAUCUAUACCCAAGAGAAAAAUUCUUCAAAAUGUGUCAAGGAAAUGAAAAUAAAGAUUAAUUAAUAGUUGUCCAAUUAAAUUAAAUCCAAAUUCUUCAGCUUGACAGUCAAGGUCCAUUUCCUGUUUCUAACUAACACAGGUUCGUCUCUCCAGCCAAGUCAAUUUUUUUUUUUUAACACAAUUAACAUUUUACCACAAGCACAUACAUACAUUAUGGCAUUCAGCGUGUUAAUCCAUGACCUUGACCUUCUUCAAACCUAGUUUAGAAAUCCAGCCCUCAUUUUCUCUAGACAAACGGGUCUUUCUCUCUCUUUGGCCGUGAAUCCUUGGUUCACAUGUACUCUGUAAGGGACACAUUUACUUGCAAGUACAAAAUGUUACUUUAGAAAUGUAAUAACUCUUUCCAUAUGUUGACAUUUGAUUUCUCUGAAUGCUUUGUUCCCCCUCCCAAAUUUUUUUUACAACUUGCUAGAAUGCACCAGGGAGAAUGUGUUGCCGUGGUCUCGAUUUCUUUUUCGGGCAUUACGCAAGGAUACCAGCUGCCUCCCUUCUCUUUACAAGGUCACCAUCACAUCCACUCUCUAAGGUAAAGGUCAAAGCUGGCCUUAACAGCUCCCUCCCACCAAGAGGAAGCUUGCCACAAAUAGCUCCCUCCCCUGGCUUCACGUCACCUCCAGAAGGCUUUCUGAACUCCCCAGCUUUGAUUUUCCAAUUGCUGUCCCUGCUUUUUUUGGUCCAGUUCUCCCUAUGACUGAAAUGGACUUAAUAUUUCAGACUCCUGUUCUUCUUGGUGUUGCACAGCAGUUUUAGGGCUACUAUCCCUUUUUGAAUUGUAUAGAACAGGACAGGACUGCCUCCAGCCUGGAGGGAAAGAGGAACCUGGGAAUGCAGGUUACUCCAAAAAUGCAUGCUGGGCCAGGCUGUAAGCCCUGGGGUUGAGUCAACAAUUUCUUACUGUCCUUAUUCUAUAAGUGUUUCAACUAACUCUACCCACUUUCUGUGCCCACCCACACAUGAGGCUAAAAGAAUGGAUAGGUUUUUGUUUUUGUUUUUCCUAUAUGAGACUGAUAUUUUCAUUUAUGUAAACGAGUUUUGAAAAUGUUUUGGCUCAUACUUUUCCACUCCUAUGGCUCAGUUGUCUGGUAAGCAAAUCUGCCCCAGAUUGUCCUUUUUAAAGAAGAUCUAACGGUACUGGCCGAUGAAAAAUAUACUCUGAUAAUGGCAAAAAAAAAAAAAAAAAAAAAAAGCCCACAACAACAACACAAAGGAUUUAAUUUUGUCAUCCUUCUUUCUUGGUACCUUUGAAACAAUGUAAUUGAAAUGCCUCUCUUUCACAAGACAAAGGAACCGUAUUAUUAACAAUCAACUAUCGAUUUUCAGAUUUACAUUGUUUUGGGUCAUUUAGUGUAUUUCUCUCCAGCAACUUGCUUGAUGGUGGUAAGUAUGAUGUUCUAUAAAACAAGCAAGCAAGCAAGAUGCAAUAUUUCAAAGCCUGGUCCAUGGGGCGAUUCUAGGUGUGGUGUAAGCAAUUUGCUGGGGUAGCUGCUUUUGCUUGAAAUUCCUUAAGAGAGGCAGCCAAGAUAUAGGUUUAUUUAUCUCCGAUUGGCAUUAAAGUCUGUCUGGGGAAAGUAAAUAAAAGGUAAUUGAUUUUUCUCUGGAAGAUAUGACAUUCUACUGAAAUAUGUAAAGUGGAAUAUGGCCAAUAAAUUAAAUGAUUUUAUUUUUCUUUUUUAAAAAACAGAAGACUACUGAAGUUGAAGUAUCUUUGCAGAGAAUUAGUAUCUUAGCUUUUCUAGGGUCAUAUCAAGAACAAUCUAACGUAUCCCUUUCAACUAAGAAUAAUACAUACCCUCUGGAAGCUUCAUGUUUUUCCGCAGAAAUUCCCUGACCAAUGCCUACAAUUUUAAAGAUGCAUUCUAAAGUUCAUUUAAAAAUGUUUGAGCAUUCUGAGAAAACUGGCUCUAAAAUUCAGGGCCAUCUUCUCAAAAAUAGUUUUUAACAUAUAAACCUUGAUUUUAGUUCAGCAGAAAAGAUUCAUGAAAUUCUAGAAAGCCAGCUUUCUACCAUUUCAUGAAAGUUGUUCAAUAUUGAGCAAGAUCAGAAUCCACUCUAUUUCUGGCAUCACUGACAUCAAAGAUGAUUCUCAAGAAAUUGGUAAAUUAGGUAUAAUUUUAUUUCAGUAUGGAGGCUUAGAUCACAUAUUCCUGGGAAACGGACUAACGCAAUAAACGGCACACGUGGGUCGUAAAGAGAACUCCUCCCGAUUAAUCGAUCCCCACGGAACCCAGAGAGUAUUUAGUGGAAACAAAACCGGAAUGACUUCGCAGCGUCUCAAAUACAUCAACUUGAUGAUUAGCUGACUAGCCUUUCCUGCUGACUUCUUGUCAACACACGAGAGCCUAGUUGGUAUUGUUUGACUGGCUCCAAAAUGCAGAAAUAGGCAAAUUACCCAGGCUCUCCUUUGAAGUAAAAUACAUUCGGCAUGGAAGCUGCCAGGCGUUGCCAGGAGGAACCAGGAAACAAAGCCCUCAGAGACCUCUCAGAAAAAUACCUAUAGGAGGCCAUUAAAACAACACAGCUCUGAGGUCCAAUUCUAUCUAAGAAGCUUUAAUCAAAGAGCAGCAUGAAUCUUAUAUUCUUGUUCUUUCUUCAUCGCGAUUAAUAUCAUCAGUUCCUUAGGGCACUCAGUAAGAAAGAACAUUUCAAAAACACUCCCUGGAUACAUCAAGAAAAAAAGUGUCAAAAACACAUUCUGCACAAGCAAAGAAUUUAGUGUGGAGGGAGAUGUUUAAAAAAAAAAAAAAAGAGAAACAAGAAAAGAUAACAAAGGGGCCUUUCUAAGUUUUUCAUAGCAAAGGAUUCCUAAGUAGUAACUCAAGCCAGCCCUAGACAAACUUUUGCAAGAAGUUCAUCUCGACUCCUUUUUUCAGCCCCUUGACUCCAGGACUCCUCUCUUGCAUCCCCGCUGGUUCAGUGCCUCAUUAGAGGAAAGGCUUGGAAGAGGCAGUGAACUCUAGUGAUUAAAGGCGCUGUCUACACAGCCAUGCAGUCUUGGCAUUAACAGGUUCCUCCAGUUACCUGCUGUGUAACAGUUUGUUCAUCUGUAAUAUGGGGGUGAGCAUAUCGACCUCCCGAAUUAUUCUGAGAAUGAAGUGAGGUAUCCGAUGAACACAGGAUCCUAGCACAGAGUCAGGGAUGUGGUCCAGGUUGAAUCAAUGGCAGUUACUUUUAUUAUUGUGAACUGAUUCUUACUGGGUGAACUGGAUGUAAAUGUAGCUCAUCCCAGGGCAUUUCAUUUGCAAAGGCAUUUCUAGAAGAUUGCAGAACUCUUGGGACUCAAAGACGCCCAUUUACUUGAGGAAUUGCAGGCACCCCAAUAGACCGAUGGGUGAGUUAAUUUUUGUCACAGAGCCUGCCUUGUGCCCCUCAGAUAAAUGCUCAGGCAGCUGUGAGCACUGAACCUAGAUCAGAAGAAUUAGGUUCAGAGGACAGUAUUGCCACUUGACAGUUGUGUGACCUUGGGCACAUCGUUCCUUUAUCUUUCAUGGCAUUGGCUUUCUCUUUGAUAAGGUGGGGAUCAUGAUAUAUCACAGGGUUAUUAAGAGGAUUUCAUGACACAAGGCAUGAAAAUAAGUGCUGUCGAUGGUCAGUGCUAAACAACUGCAAAUUACUACCACAGUCCAGUCCGUGCCUUUGCCCGGGGACAUGCCCUAGGAGUAAUAGAAAUUUCCUACCGUUGAGACACAUAAUAAUCUGACUGGCUAAAGGAAAAAAACAAACCCACAUGUUCUAGCAUUCAUUUGGUUAGCAGAAUUUGAGAACCAUCAAAAUCACCUGCGGAAACAACUAUAGACAGAAGCAAAGGCAAAUCCAUGAAUCUGAAAGCAUUAUGCUAAAUGAAAGAAGCCAGGCACACAAGCGUGUCCCUCCAUGGAAUAGCAAACUGUGACCCAUACAUGCAGUCGAAUGUCAUUUGCCUUAAAAAGAAGGAAAUCGACACAUGCUACAACGUGGAUGAAACUUGAAGACAUUAUGGUAAGUGAAAUACGCCAGUCACAAAAGGACAAAUAUUGUAGAAUUCCACUUGUAUGAGUACCUAGGGUAGUCAAAGUCAUAGAGACAGAAGGUGAAUGGUGGUUGCCAGGUACUAGAGAGAGGGCAAAAUGGGGAGUUAGUGUUCAGUGGGUACAGAGUUUCAGCCUACAAGGCUCAAUUUACGGAAAAUUCUAGAACAGACCAACUUAAUCCAUCGUGAUAGAAAGCAGAUGGUUGCAAAGGGCCAAGAGGUGACUUUCUGGAGCGAAGGAAAUGUCCUAUAUCUUCGUUCUGGCGGCAGAUACAGGGCAUGCAUACAUUUUCAAAACUCAUCUACCUGGAUACUUAACAUGGAUGCAUUUAAUUGUAUGUAAAUUUUACUUCGUGGUGAUGGUUACUUUUGUGAUGGUGACUGGGCUACAGUUCCCAGCUGUUGGCUCAAACAGUGUUAAGAAGCGUUAAGAUGUUGCUGUGAGGUAUUUUUUAGAUGUGAUUAACAUUCAAGUCGGUAGACUCUGAGUAAAGCAGAUUACCCAGUAAUCUGGGUUUCAUGCAAUCAGUUGAAGGCCUUAAGAGAGAAGACUGAGGCCCUCAGGAGACGAAGGCUUUCUGCCUCCAGACCUAACUUUUGACUCAAGGCAGCAGCAUUGACUCUUGCUAGAAUUUCCAGCCUGCUGGCCUACUCUGCAGAUUUUAGCCUUCCCAGCCCCCACAGUUACGUGAGCCAGCUCCCUAAAUUAAAUCAAUCUCUCUGUAUCCUUCUCCUUGGUUCUGCAUCUCCGGAGAACCCUCACGAACGCACCCAUAAAGAGAGUUUUAAAAGAAAAAAAAAAAAAUCACCUCGGAUUAACUAUAAAGAUAAAAAUUCUCAAACUCCACCUUGGAUUCACUGAAUCAGAAUCUCUAGGGGUAAGACCUGCGCCUUAUAUACGGAGUUUUAAAAAGCUCUUACAGGUAAUUCGGAUAUGCACCUCUGGUUAAGUACUGGAAAUGUUCUGCAAUUACAUCUAAAUCUAACUUAAUAAUUGACAUUUUAAGAAUUUUUAAACCCAUCGCAUUUUAGGUGCUUGCCUUUUUAUUAUGUUUCUGAGUGUUUUAUAUAAAUAAUAAAAUAUUUUUAAAAGGAGGGAAGAAUUGCCACCCUUCCCCCACCCCCACUCCAAAUUGGGUAGAGGAACACUGCGCAGCUCUAUGAAUACUUUGAACACUGGUCAUCAUUCAUCUCACAGAGAGGGAUCGAGAGGACCUGUUAUAUGUGAGGCACUGUUGUAAGGCCUGCAGAUCUGUGCAGAGAUGAAAGAGCCAGACCAAAUCCCUGCCCUCAUGGAACUGAAGCUACAGCAGGGGGAGCCUUGAAGAGAAGUCAAUUAUACCCUGUAUACAGGUCUUCAUUAAAAAAAAUAAAAACUUUCCUGGGCCGCCUGGGUGGCUCACUCGGUUAAGUGUCUGACUUCUGCUCAGGUCACGAUCUCACAGUCCGUGGGUUCGAGCCCCACGUCGGGCUCUGUGCUGACAGCUCGGAGCCUGGAGCCUGCUUCGGAUUCUGUGUCUCCCUCUCUCUCUGCCCCUCCCCUGCUCGUGCUCUCUCUCUCUUUCUCUCUCUCUCUCUCUCAAAAAAUAAACAAGCAUUAAAAAAUAUUAGAAAAAAGUUAAAAAUAAAAACUUCAACAGGCAACACAUUGGACUGACAGUAGAGUAAAAAACAAGAAAGAGAAAACAAACCUGUCGAUCUUACAACUUGUAUUGUCAUCAUUUAGUUGAGAGUGCUGAACCAAGAUUAGCAGCACCCUGGAGUCAUGAAGAUAACUCGCUAAGAGUAAGAAGUACCGGAAAAUAGAGUCAGCAAUUAGCUCCAGUCCAGCGUGAAUGCCAGCGAGUGAAUCGGGCUCUUUACAGCUCGCCAGCAUUGCUCUUCAACUCCUAGCUGCUACAAAUGUUAGGUAGUCACAUGUGCUUUGCAGUGAAGAAAAACUGCGGCUAAGGUCUGGUCAUUGCAGAAAAGGCUGCUGACAAAUUCUUUUUUUUUCCUGUAAUGGGCAGGGGUAAAAACUCCAGGAAAAGGAAAAGCCAAGCUUCUGGCUUGUUUCUAUGUCCGUUCAUCACACAUUUAUUAAGGAGAGAUUGUAGUAGUGCGUGCCUCGUAGAUUUUGUGAGGGCAAAUGAGAACGUAAAUCCUGUAGCACAAUGUCUGGUCGCAGCAAGCUCUCCGUAAAUGCUAACUAUCAUCACUGGUAUAUUGCUCUUAUUACUGGCCAGGCACCCCUCCAGGAGCUGGGGCUGCAAAGACAAUUGAGACACGCCCCUGCAACAAGAAUCGUACAUCUAUCAGAGGGAGGGAUGCCAAACAAAUGAAGCGUUCUAAUUGCUAUCCUAGGGUUCAGUGGUGUCGCUGAAAAGCAGUUCUCCGCAGGGGUGGGUAGGGAGGAGGGAGAAUCAGGUGAGCCUUGCAGGAAGAGGUUUGGCCAGUGUUGGCUUCGGAUGUAACUGGCAAUUGUUCCAAGGCUGUUUCCAGAAGAAGAAGAAGAAGAAAAAAAAAAACUUUCCGCCAUUUGUGUGAAAAGUGGUGAUGACACUGAUCAUCAAAGUUUUGUAUGAAACUCGUGUGUAAGGUCAUCCUGACUGAUGCUAUUAAAGGCUCUUAUUAUUACAUUUGAUGUUAAGGCUGUGGUAAAAUUAAAGCUGGGUGUAAAGGCUGUGAUAUUUUGAGAUAGAGAGGGGAGUCAGACGAGUUUGAACUGCUAGGGAACAUCAGAGAUCACACAGUCAAUGCUCUCAUUGCACUAAAGAGAAAAUCGAGGGGCACCCAGGGUAAAAUGAAAACACAGACACGGGUUUGGUCUCAGUGGAAUAAGGUAUACAAUGGGACACCUGCCUGCUCCGUCCUGCCCGCAGUACUAGCCACACUAGUCGCAUGUGGCUACUUAGAAAUAAUGACGAUCAAAUAAAAUUAAACAUCCCGUUCCUCAGUUGAACUAAGUACAUUUCAAGUGCCCAAUGUGACAAGGAAGCUCUCAUGUCAAACAGCAUCUAUGAAGAUGAUUUUCCUCAUCCUAAAACAUUCUAUUAGACACCACUGUGUUAGUUUCAGGCAGUGAGAGAGAAAAGCAACGUUUCGUCACUAUUAAAAGCAUUCCACAAUGGAUAGAGAGUUGAACACCAUGACCAAAUUUUCCAAAUGCGCUUCUAAAAUUACUUACGUAAUUGCCAGCCUAUAGACAAAUCUACCCCAGCCCAGAGAUAUUUCACAGGAAAAACUGGGCAGGCAUCAUCAGAGAAUGCAUAGCUUUCCAGCUGCAUCAAAGUUGCACACGCAAUUUUGGAAAUGGGGUGGAAACCACUUUAAUGUUCCAAUUGUCAUACAUUUAGGAGCAAUCUAAUGCAAAUAUCUACUACAUAGAUGAUCAAAAGGAAAAGAAGGAGGAGGUAAAUGAAAUUUAAGUAGACCAUAUUUGAAGAGAUAAUUUCUUAAAUAGGAAACAAAGUAGCAAAUAUUCAUUUUGUUCUUAAAAUGUUGCAAAAGUGAACUUUGAAAAAGUUAGUGACUUUUCCUAUAUAUUCAGGAAGUAAAAAAAAUUAUAAAGCAUUUUUCUUCUUUUGGCAAUAAUUUUUCAAGUAUAAAAAUACAUAAGUUAUUAGGCUCUUGAGAGAUGUGCUUUAUGAGUAUGUUGAAAGGGGAGAAAAUGUUCUUAAAGUUCUUAGGGAACAUAAUUUUUAUAUGAUGAUUGCAAAUGGAGGGGAGCUAAUUUGAGAUUUAAAAAAUUAAAUCUUUCAGGAAAUGCACUUUUGGAAGACUUUACUACAUUCUACUUUAAAGUUUGCCAGAAAGCCUAAGAAGUCAAAAAGCUAUGAAACAGCGUUGUCCGAUUCAGUUUCUUUUCAUCUACAAAAAUCCAUAAACUGCACUUCUGCAAAAUUAGUCUGCAUUUUCCCCUCUAUAGUGCUCUUUCUGACUAGUAAAAUUUACUACCAGUGCUCACCAUCAGCUGUGGCCUCAGUCCUGCGAGGAUUUGAUAUUCGAGCAUGUGCCCUUUUCUCGAUGCCAAGGGAGUGAGUGGUGCGGCUUCCAUUUGGAAAUUUCUUCCAUUACCAUUUAGUGUGUUUUUCCCUUCAGCCUAAUUUUCUUUUUAUACCUUAUAAAUUUUCUAUCUUCUAAGUAUUUUGGAUCUUUAUCUUCUUUGUGCCCUGCCUUUUAAAUUUCCUUCUGCACACUAAUGAGUCACUUCUUUCCAAUAUUCUCUCAUAGCUUAUGUCCCAAUGUAAAGGUUCUCAGAUGCCAGUCCUCUAACUGUGCCAAGAGAAAAUGAGAAAAAUAAAGACUGUGCAAUGAUCAUAUAUGCACAUGGGAUAGUACAAGACAGUUGACCUGUAACCAGUAGACUUGUAUGACCUUAUGAAUUCCUAGCGAAACUUUGCAAAAAAUGUCCUUCAUUCUACUGCUCCCUCCUACAAUGAAUUAAAAUGCAUUGGCAAA
rnacentral:lncRNA from 1 species